AUUGAACGCUGGCGGCAUGCCUUACACAUGCAAGUCGAACGGCAGCAUGGAGAGCUUGCUCUCUGAUGGCGAGUGGCGAACGGGUGAGUAAUGCAUCGGAACGUACCGUGUAAUGGGGGAUAACGUAGCGAAAGUUACGCUAAUACCGCAUACGACCUGAGGGUGAAAGCAGGGGAUCGCAAGACCUUGCGUUAUACGAGCGGCCGAUGUCAGAUUAGCUAGUUGGUGAGGUAAAGGCUCACCAAGGCGACGAUCUGUAGCGGGUCUGAGGGGAUGAUCCGCCAAACGGGGACUGAGACACGGCCCAGACUCCGACGGGAGUCAGCAGUGGGGAAUUUUGGACAAUGGGGGCAACCCUGAUCCAGCCAUGCCGCGUGAGUGAAGAAGGCCUUCGGGUUGUAAAGCUCUUUCGGCCGGGAAGAAAUCGCACAGGCUAAUACUCUGUGUGGAUGACGGUACCGGCAUAAGAAGCACCGGCUAACUACGUGCCAGCCGCCGCAGUAA
rnacentral:rRNA from 1 species